rnacentral:rRNA from 1 species
ACUAGUGAUUUCCGUAGGUGAACCUGCGGAAGGAUCAUUAACACGAAUCCAUUUCACACCAUAACCGUAAACGUGGGUCAGUGGAGGGAGCAAUCCUGAUGCUGUCCCGUCCUCACUGUCGGGCUGCGGCUUUUGUUCGUAGCUUAGGCUUUGGGGCGUUUAACCCUUUUUUUCACACCAUUGUAUUGUGUUGAAAUGUCUAUCAUUUUAAUCACAACUUUUAACGGUGGAUGCCUCGGCUCGAGUAUCGAUGAAGGACGCAGCAAAAUGCGAUAAGCACUGCGAAUGGCAGAAUUUCGAGAAUCAAUAGAAUGCUGAACGCAUACUGCACUUUCGGUUCACCACUGAAAGUAUGUCUGGUUCAGGGCGUUUAUACUUUACUGCAAUCAAAUACGCUAACGCAAGUUAGUUAUUCGAUUCGCGUUCUUGUGUGCCAGCGUCAUGUCAAGUGUUCGCUCACCGUUGGCACAUUAAAUCAAGUAGUUGAUUCCAACUAAUUAAGCUACCGCUUAGUGUUGAGUUCUCUCUUCUUAGUGGUGUUUGAUUUGGAAUGUAUAGGGCUACUCUAGCAAACUCUUGAAGCGUUUCGCUUCAAUUUGUUUUCGCAUGAACUCAGACAGGGCUACCCGCUGAAUUUAAGCAUAUCAAU